rnacentral:rRNA from 1 species
AAUGAACGCUGGCGGCGCGCCUAAUACAUGCAAGUCGAGCGAGAAGACGUAGCAAUACGUUUGUAAAGCGGCGAACGGGUGAGGAAUACAUGGGUAACCUACCCUCGAGUGGGGAAUAACUAGCCGAAAGGUUAGCUAAUACCGCGUACGCUUCUUGGACUUCGGUUCAGGGAGGAAAGCGAUACCGUGGGUAUCGCGCUCUUGGAUGGGCUCAUGUCCUAUCAGCUUGUUGGUGAGGUAACGGCUCACCAAGGCCUCGACGGGUAGCUGGUCUGAGAGGACGAUCAGCCACACUGGCACUGCGACACGGGGCCAGACUCCUACGGGAGGCAGCAGUAAGGAAUAUUGCGCAAUGGGCGAAAGCCUGACGCAGCGACGCCGCGUGGGGGA